rnacentral:misc_RNA from 1 species
GAUGAAGAACGUAGUGAAAUGCGAUAAGUAAUGUGAAUUGCAGAAUUCAGUGAAUCAUCGAGUCUUUGAACGCACAUUGCGCCCCCUGGUAUUCCGGGGGGCAUGCCUGUCCGAGCGUCAUUGCUGCCCUCAAGCACGGCUUGUGUGUUGGGCCGUCGUCCCCCUCCUAGGGGACGGGCCCGAAAGGCAGCGGCGGCACCGCGUCCGGUCCUCGAGCGUAUGGGGCUUCGUCACCCGCUCCGUAGGCCCGGCCGGCGCUUGCCGACGACCAUCAAUCUCUUUCUCCAGGUUGACCUCGGAUCAGGUAGGGUUACCCGCUGAACUUAAGCAUAUCAAUAAGCGGAGGA